GAGAAGUUUAUCUGAGUCUCCAGCCUCAGAAAUGUGAAGUUAACAGCAGCUCAGAUUAGAGCCCAGAUAAAUGCCACACAACGUUCUAGUAGCAGACACAUCUCUACAUCAACUGUUCAGAAGAGAUUGACCAAUCAGGACUUUAUGGUCCAACAGCUGCUCAGAAACCACUACUAAGGAAAAGCAACAAGCAGAAGAGAUAAGUUUGGACCCAGAAACACCAGGAAUGGACAUUAGACCAGUGGAGAUCUGGGCUUUGGUCUGAUGAGUUCAAAUGUGAGAUCUUUGGUUCCACCCACCAUGUCUUUGUGAGACCAGAAAAGGUGAACAGAUGGUCUCUACAUGCAUGAUACCACCAUGAAGCAUGGAGGAGCAGGUAUGAUGGUCUCUAUAUGCAUGGUUCCCACCAUGAAGCAUGGAGGAGGUGGUGUGAUUGUCUCUACAUGCAUGGUUCCCACUAUGAAGCAUGGAGGAGGAGGUAUGAUGGUCUCUACAUGCAUGGUUCCACCAUGAAACAUGGAGGAGGUGGUAUGAUGGUCUCUUUUUUUUUAGUUUAUUUAAAAGGACAAUGUGCAGUAACAUUAAAAAGAUGCCUGCACCAGAUUUAGCACAGAGCUAAUUUCCAUCUGCAGUCCUUUGCACAAUAAAAAUACAUAACACUGACAGAUAAAAAUAUUGCAGUCAUAAAGAUGGCAUACAAUAUAAAAUACAAUACAAAUAUUACAUUAAAUACACAUAAAAUUAAUAAAAAAUACACAUAAAAUUCAUAAAACUCUACAUGCAUGGUUCCACCAUGAAGCAUGGAGGAGGAGGUGUGAUGGUCUCUACAUGCAUGGUUCCACCAUGAAGCAUGGUGGAGGUGUGAUGGUCUCUACAUGCAUGGUUCCACCAUGAAGCAUGGAGGAGGUGUGAUGGUCUCUACAUGCAUGGUUCCCACCAUGAAUCAUGGAGGAGGUGUGAUGGUCUCUACAUGCAUGGCUCCACCAUGAAGCAUGGAGGAGGUGUGAUGGUCUCUACAUGCAUGGUUCCCACCAUGAAUCAUGGAGGAGGUGUGAUGGUCUCUACAUGCAUGGCUCCACCAUGAAGCAUGGAGGAGGUGUGAUGGUCUCUACAUGCAUGGUUCCACCAUGAAGCAUGGUGGAGGUGUGAUGGUCUCUACAUGCAUGGUUCCACCAUGAAGCAUGGUGGAGGUGUGAUGGUCUCUACAUGCAUGGUUCCACCAUGAAGCAUGGUGGAGGUGUGAUGGUCUCUACAUGCAUGGUUCCACCAUGAAGCAUGGAGGAGGUGUGAUGGUCUCUACAUGCAUGGUUCCCACCAUGAAGCAUGGAGGAGGUGUGAUGGUCUCUACAUGCAUGGUUCCACCAUGAAGCAUGGUGGAGGUGUGAUGGUCUCUACAUGCAUGGUUCCACCAUGAAGCAUGGUGGAGGUGUGAUGGUCUCUACAUGCAUGGUUCCACCAUGAAGCAUGGAGGAGGUGUGAUGGUCUCUACAUGCAUGGUUCCCACCAUGAAGCAUGGAGGAGGUGUGAUGGUCUCUACAUGCAUGGUUCCACCAUGAAGCAUGGUGGAGGUGUGAUGGUCUCUACAUGCAUGGUUCCCACCAUGAAGCAUGGAGGAGGUGUGAUGGUCUCUACAUGCAUGGUUCCCACCAUGAAGCAUGGAGGAGGUGUGAUGGUCUCUACAUGCAUGGUUCCACCAUGAAGCAUGGUGGAGGUGUGAUGGUCUCUACAUGCAUGGUUCCACCAUGAAGCAUGGUGGAGGUGUGAUGGUCUCUACAUGCAUGGUUCCACCAUGAAGCAUGGAGGAGGUGUGAUGGUCUCUACAUGCAUGGUUCCCACCAUGAAGCAUGGAGGAGGUGUGAUGGUCUCUACAUGCAUGGUUCCACCAUGAAGCAUGGAGGAGGUGUGAUGGUCUCUACAUGCAUGGUUCCACCAUGAAGCAUGGAGGAGGUGUGAUGGUCUCUACAUGCAUGGUUCCACCAUGAAGCAUGGAGGAGGUGUGAUGGUCUCUACAUGCAUGGUUCCACCAUGAAGCAUGGUGGAGGUGUGAUGGUCUCUACAUGCAUGGCUCCACCAUGAAGCAUGGAGGAGGUGUGAUGGUCUCUACAUGCAUGGUUCCACCAUGAAGCAUGGUGGAGGUGUGAUGGUCUCUACAUGCAUGGUUCCACCAUGAAGCAUGGUGGAGGUG